UACGUAGGGGGCUAGCGUUGUCCGGAAUCAUUGGGCGUAAAGCGCGCGUAGGCGGCCCGGUAAGUCCGCUGUGAAAGUCCAGGGCUCAACCCUGGAAAGCCGGUGGAUACUGCCGGGCUAGAGUCCGGAAGAGGCGAGUGGAAUUCCUGGUGUAGCGGUGGAAUGCGCAGAUAUCAGGAGGAACACCGAUGGCGAAGGCAGCUCGCUGGGACGGUACUGACGCUGGAGACGCGAAAGCGUGGGGAGCAAACGGG
rnacentral:rRNA from 1 species